CCCUUUCUUCUAAAUCAACAACCCUAACGUUCCUCUCUCCUCUCUCUUCAACCUAACCAUGGCUGCCACUCCUUCCAUCACUUCACCACCACCACCACAGCAAUAUCCCACAAAAUCCGCUACCUACACCCUUCUUCUCUUUUCUCACACUCAAUCUCUGAAGCUUGCAGGAACCAUGUGCAAAUUCAGCGGAUUUUAUGGUGAGUCUUCAACAGUUGAAAAUACACCUCUGAACACAAGCUUCGAUCCUCAUAUAAAAAAAAAAAAAUCGCAGCAACAAAGACUAUUCCGAGUGGAUUCGGAGACUCGAGAUGACAACAAGCCUCAAUUCGCUGUCACGAAGAAGAAUGUUGGAGUUGUGGCAACUCCGAUUUCAGCCCAGGCCGAAAAGCAGUAGCAGCAAUGUCGUUCUCGUGCCUAGCUGUCCCCGAUUUCUGCUCGUGUCUAAGUGUCGACGUCUUCUUUCCUCUCUUCAAAAAUUUUUUUAUGCCUUUGUAUUGAUGUGUCGUUUACAUAUUUUACUAACACUUUGUGAGUUUUGUAUUUGCGGUAUUUAUUUCUUGUUUUGGGCGUGGAUUCUCAAGAAUGGUUAAGAGGAUAGUUUGCUUGA